AGCGAACGUUAGCGGCGGGCCUAACACAUGCAAGUCGAACGCGAAAGGUCUUCGGACUGAGUAGAGUGGCGCACGGGUGAGUAACACGUAGGUAAUCUACCCUUUGGCGGGGGAUAACGUUCCGAAAGGAGCGCUAAUACCGCAUAAGACCACGGAGUCUCCGGACGCUGUGGGAAAAGGUGGCCUCUUCUUGAAAGCUACCACCGAAGGAUGAGCCUGCGUCCCAUCAGCUAGUUGGUAAGGUAAUGGCUUACCAAGGCGAAGACGGGUAGCUGGUUUGAGAGAAUGAUCAGCCACACUGGCACUGGAACACGGGCCAGACUCCUACGGGAGGCAGCAGUGAGGAAUAUUGGGCAAUGGGCGAAAGCCUGACCCAGCCACGCCGCGUGAGNGAUGAAGGCCCGUCGGGUCGUAAGCUCUGUGGAGAGGGACGAAA
rnacentral:rRNA from 1 species